rnacentral:piRNA from 1 species
GCUGUACAGUAUUCGCGAUAUUC